rnacentral:rRNA from 1 species
GACGAACGCUGGCGGCGUGCUUAAUACAUGCCAGUCGAACGGAAAGGCCCUGCUUUUGUGGGGUGCUCGAGUGGCGAACGGGGGAGUAACACGUGAGUAACCUGCCCUUGACUUUGGGAUAACUUCAGGAAACUGGGGCUAAUACCGGAUAGGAGCUCUUGCUGCAUGGUGGGGGUUGGAAAGGUUCGGCGGUUGGGGAUGGACUCGCGGCUUAUCAGCUUGUUGGUGGGGUAGUGGCUUACCAAGGCUUUGACGGGUAGCCGGCCUGAGAGGGUGACCGGCCACAUUGGGACUGCGGUAGGGCCCAGACUCCUACGGGAGGCAGCAGUGGGGAAUAUUGCGCAAUGGGGGGGAGCCUGAGGCGGCAGCGCCGCGUGCGGGAUAACGUCCUUCGGGUUAUGAACCGCUUUCGCCUGUGACGAAGCGUGAGUGACGGUAAUGGGUAAAGAAGCACCGGCUAACUACGUG